rnacentral:rRNA from 1 species
UUAUCACGGGAGACACACGGCGGGUGCUAACGUCCGUCGUGAAGAGGGAAACAACCCAGACCGCCAGCUAAGGUCCCAAAGUCAUGGUUAAGUGGGAAACGAUGUGGGAAGGCCCAGACAGCCAGGAUGUUGGCUUAGAAGCAGCCAUCAUUUAAAGAAAGCGUAAUAGCUCACUGGUCGAGUCGGCCUGCGCGGAAGAUGUAACGGGGCUAAACCAUGCACCGAAGCUGCGGCAGCGACGCUGAUGCGUUGUUGGGUAGGGGAGCGUUCUGUAAGCCUGCGAAGGUGACCUGUGAGGGUUGCUGGAGGUAUCAGAAGUGCGAAUGCUGACAUAAGUAACGAUAAAGCGGGUGAAAAGCCCGCUCGCCGGAAGACCAAGGGUUCCUGUCCAACGUUAAUCGGGGCAGGGUGAGUCGACCCCUAAGGCGAGGCCGAAAGGCGUAGUCGAUGGGAAACGGGUUAAUAUUCCCGUACUUGGUGUUACUGCGAAGGGGGGACGGAGAAGGCUAUGUUGGCCGGGCGACGGUUGUCCCGGUUUAAGCGUGUAGGUGUGUGUUCCAGGUAAAUCCGGUUCACUUUAACACUGAGGCGUGACGACGAGGCACUACGGUGCUGAAGCAACAAAUGCCCUGCUUCCAGGAAAAGCCUCUAAGCAUCAGGUAACAUCAAAUCGUACCCCAAACCGACACAGGUGGUCAGGUAGAGAAUACCAAGGCGCUUGAGAGAACUCGGGUGAAGGAACUAGGCAAAAUGGUGCCGUAACUUCGGGAGAAGGCACGCUGACACGUAGGUGAAGUGAUUUACUCAUGGAGCUGAAGUCAGUCGAAGAUACCAGCUGGCUGCAACUGUUUAUUAAAAACACAGCACUGUGCAAACACGAAAGUGGACGUAUACGGUGUGACGCCUGCCCGGUGCCGGAAGGUUAAUUGAUGGGGUCAGCGUAAGCGAAGCUCCUGAUCGAAGCCCCGGUAAACGGCGGCCGUAACUAUAACGGUCCUAAGGUAGCGAAAUUCCUUGUCGGGUAAGUUCCGACCUGCACGAAUGGCGUAAUGAUGGCCAGGCUGUCUCCACCCGAGACUCAGUGAAAUUGAACUCGCUGUGAAGAUGCAGUGUACCCGCGGCAAGACGGAAAGACCCCGUGAACCUUUACUAUAGCUUGACACUGAACAUUGAGCCUUGAUGUGUAGGAUAG